UGCUGUGCCCGGUCCCCGCUGUCCGGGUUUCCCCCCACGGGCCCUGCUGUGGGGACAGCUCCGCGCCCGGGGAUGGCCCAGUGGCGGGAGCCGCACUUUGACCCCGUUGUGCAACCGCCAUCAAGGAAGUAAAUAAGGCCGGGGUGAAAAAUACGACCUGGCUUCCCUCUAACGCUCUCUUUCGCUAGGUGCCGUUUCCCAAAGGCGGCUGAAGCGUUGGAGCAAAAUGAGCGGGAAGAGAAAGCACGGGGAUGGACUCAGCACCUGCUAAUGCCCUGCCCAGAAUUUACCGGCCUGCUGGCUGACAGUAGGGCUGCAGUGGUGGGGACUGGUAAGAGUAAGUGCUCUGAGCUCCCUGAGACUGGAUUGCUUUAAAUAGGUCAGGGAUGAGAGGAUUCUCUGCUUAGGGUUGCCCAAAGAUGGGUGUCAGUGCUUUCUGUGUUAUAAUUUGUGGUGAUCACUUAACUCGUAGUGCUGUGACACAGAACAAAUUGCCCUGCUCACCAGUUGGCCCAGCAGUCCUGAAGUAGUUCCAUACCCUGCCCUGUCCCCAGACACGUAAACAUCUCUACAGGAGAUGUUUGCCAAAUGGUCAUUUGGGAAAGAGUAAAAACUGAUAGCUAUUCCUUAAUAGGGUGAGUAAAUAUCUUUAAAUCAAGUCUUAGUCCUCACCAUAAACUAUUUCAAUAACUGUUGUGGUUUCUCACAUGCCCCUCUCACCUGUACAAGGCUGCUGCUGAGUUAAAAUGAUGACACUGAGCCUUUCCUACAGCUCUGAUCGCUUUACAAGGAGGCAUCACUAGAAGGGACUGCUCCUCUGAGAAGUUUUAAAUUAGGGUUUUAUAAUCUUUUAUACUUGUUCUCAAAUAUAUUUUACUUCAUAGUUUUUUUGUCUUCGUACCUUUUCUCAAUCAUCACCCAAAACUCUGGGAGAAAAAGAAAAUACUCCUUCUCUGCAACUUUUACAUUCCAUUUUUUGCCAUAUUGUAAUGCUGCGAAGUAGUUGCCCACUUCUGCAAGGCAGGAAUGCUGCUUCAAGCAGAGUCACGUCCACCGGUUUGUUGCUGCCCCAGUCAAGCACAUUGCCAGUUUUAGCUGUGAUGAAAUUCUAUAAGCAACAUACCAAAGAACUAUCUAGAAUAGAAGUCUCUUUGCAUUCCCAAAACAGUGGAAGAAUUAAUCUACAUCAGCUGCUCAAAUGAUUUAUGGGGGGGAGCUCGGCUUAAGCUGAAGCAGCCUGAAGGUGCAGAGUGGCUGCACAUCUUUCUUUCGCAGCACCUAAAUGGGUGUGUAGCCCAAAGCUGGGCUGGUAAGAGUGAUGGAAGAAGAGAGUGAGCGACAUGAGAGAGGGAUUAAAUUACCCCAUGGCAGCAGUAGUCAACACGAAGGGUUAGAGCAGCCUCUGUUCUUCUGCUGCUCGUAUUUUAGGGCAGCUGGAAUGCAGCUUACAGUUGUAUUACAGAACUAGAAAUAAAAACCUAGAAAUCAUCAGUCUUUGUUCUAGCACUCUCGUUAGUAGACCAUAUGGCAUAUUUACCAUAUUAGGUAAACAACUUUACCAAAUUACAAGAGCAACUGAAAUGCAUUAUGACUUGUGUGUUGUGUGUAAGGUUUAUUACUGGAUAAUUAAUCUUUUUGCACUCUGCCUUUCAUUUGCUAUUGGAAGUAACUUUUUAGAUGGGAUUCUUCAGGCCCGGGACUCCAGCUCCUCUGUAUUGUACUGCUCAAUUCUGACUCUAAAAGUUGCUCUAAUAUUCCUCAAAUCUGGUUUCUGUAACUACUUCAAAUCUGAAUCAAAACACUUUGAGAAGUGGUCAGAGCCAGUGGAGAAUAAUUUGUUGGUACCAGGUAACACAGAGGUACACUUAAUGUUCAUCAUUCUGACACUUUUGUACAAUUUUCAUGGAAUUAAGACCUAAUUUCAAAAUAAAUGCUCGCUUUACUUCAGAGUGUUUGUUUUAUGAAAGCGCCUGCAUUUCACCUAGCAUGGCUGUAGGAAAAUAUUUUGUCCCAUUGAUGUCCAUGCCCUGGUUUCAUGGUGCUCUGGGUUUGUUACAAAACUUAGGUUCUACUGCAGAAACGCUUUCUUUCCAUGUUUCCAAAUUGUGUGUGCGUUUCCAAAUUGGAGGAGCACAGGAGGUGGACAAUUUCAGAGCUGCACAGUGUCAGGAGAAAGACAAAAUAAUGGAGCUCUGGUUGAGGAUGAUGCAGACCUAUGCAGAAACACAGUUUGUCAACUUGAAAGUCUGCAUGCUGAUCCUUCUGCAAAGGGGUGUCAGUCCGCACCAACAAGCGUUCAGCUAAAGCAGCAAGGCUUCAUGUGCAUCUAGAAUGCAGAAGUUUGACAGUAAUCUGUACAAAAAGUAUUCCUGUUGUGAACAUUUUACUUUGAAUUGAGGGGAAAAUGCAGUCUUAGUACACACAAGCACAUGCGGAUAAAUAAAACAACUUUAUUGCCUCUUUGUGGUCUGCGCUUUGCUGUCUCCUUGGAAACUUAAGGUAUCAUUGAAGUCUUGGUCUUAAAAUCAUGACACAUAUUUCAGGUGUCAUUUGGUGGAUCUCUGAUGCUCUUAAUGGUCAGGGAUUGGAAGAGGUAUACCAAAAUCACCCAUUUGUUUAAGUGUUUGUAUCUACAUAACAGUUGAUGGAACUUCAGAAGUGGUGCAGAAAACCAAACAUUUUUUCCAUAAAAGAUGCUAGUAAGAUCCAUAGUGACACAUGCUUUAAUAAAAAUGUGACAACUUCAUGGAUUUCCUCCUUUAAAAAAAUAAAUUAUUUAACUGUAUCUGGUUAUUGGGAAAUACAAAAACAAUCUGUUAGGCUACUAGUGAGCUACAUUUUUAAAAAGAAAAGUUAGCUGACCAUGCAACUGCUUGUGAAUCUUCUCUAGUUUUUAUGGGACAGUUUGAGGAGUGUGUCCCUAGCACACACUACAUGCGAUUCAUGUGGGAGUUGCUUAUGUAUGGCUAUACCAAAGUCCAUGCAGCUCAACAUCCUGUGCCCGAAAGAGGAUGCCCAGAGAAUAUACUGUGGGAUAAAAGAUCAUUGUUUAAAAGCCUUCAAGGCUUUACAGUAUAAAAGAGUUGUGGAAUACUGGUUUUCCUUCCCAACUGCUCUUAAUCUAACUUGUCAUGCUUGCAUACUGCAUGCCAAGAUGGGAAGCAUCAAAAUCCAGACUCGUCUACGAGGGAAGAAGGAACUUUAAUAAGAAAAAGGAGCACUUGUACAAGAUGGAAGUUUCCAACUACGCACUCGGCAGCAAGCAGAUUCUUUUAAAGCAAAUCUUCUGAAUGGAGGUUACUAACAAAUGCCCAAAAUAACGUUUGUAAAAGAGACAAGAAGCAGCCAUGUCAAUGAAGAUUUAUGUUUUAUCUGUUAUAAAAAAAAA